UUAUUCCAGAUUGUUGGGAGCCGCCCC
rnacentral:misc_RNA from 1 species